rnacentral:rRNA from 1 species
GAUGAACGCUGGCGGCAUGCCUAACACAUGCAAGUCGAACGAUGCCUUCGGGCAUAGUGGCGCACGGGUGCGUAACGCGUGGGAAUCUGCCCUUGGGUUCGGAAUAACUCAGAGAAAUUUGAGCUAAUACCGGAUGAUGACGUAAGUCCAAAGAUUUAUCGCCCAAGGAUGAGCCCGCGUAAGAUUAGCUAGUUGGUGGGGUAAAGGCCUACCAAGGCGACGAUCUUUAGCUGGUCUGAGAGGAUGAUCAGCCACACUGGGACUGAGACACGGCCCAGACUCCUACGGGAGGCAGCAGUGGGGGAAUAUUGGACAAUGGGCGAAAGCCUGAUCCAGCAAUGCCGCGUGAGUGAUGAAGGCCUUAGGGUUGUAAAGCUCUUUUACCAGGGAUGAUAAUGACAGUACCUGGAGAAUAAGCUCCGGCUAACUCCGUGCCAGCAGCCGCGGUAAU